UUUAUGGAGAGUUUGAUCCUGGCUCAGGAUGAACGCUGGCGGCGUGCCUAAUACAUGCAAGUCGAGCGAACAGACGAGGAGCUUGCUCCUUUGACGUUAGCGGCGGACGGGUGAGU
rnacentral:rRNA from 1 species